GCUAAUAUUAGAUAGAUAAAAGAUACUGGAAUGUUCUUUUAUCCAAAGCUUUUGCACCUGAGGAUGGGCCUGCGUCCGAUUAGGUUGUUGGUGGGGUAAUGGCCCACCAAGCCUAUGAUCGGUACGGGCAGUGGGAGCUGAAGCCCGGAGUUGGGGACUGAGACAAGGCCCCAGGCCCUACGGGGCGCAGCAGGCGCGAAACCUCUGCAAUGCGGGAAACCGUGACAGGGGAAUUCCAAGUGCUCAUGCAUUGCAUGGGCUGUUCUUUGGUCUAAGUAACCAGAGGAGUAAGGGCUGGGCAAGACCGGUGCCAGCCGCCGCGGUAAUACCGGCAGCUCAAGUGGUAGCCGCGAUUAUUGGGCCUAAAGCGUUCGUAGCCGGAUAAGUAAGUCUUUGGUUAAAUCCUGCGACUUAACCGUGGGAAAUCUAGAGAUACUGCUUGUCUUGAGACCGGGAGAGGUUGGAGGUACUUUUAGGGUAGGGGUGAAAUCCUGUAAUCCUAAGGGGACCACCUGUGGCGAAGGCGUCCAACUGGAACGGGUCUGACGGUGAGGGACGAAACCUAGGGGAGCGAGCCGGAUUAGAUACCCGGGUAGUCCUAGGCGUAAAUGAUGCGAGUUAAGUGUGG
rnacentral:rRNA from 1 species